rnacentral:rRNA from 1 species
GAUGAACGCUGGCGGCGUGCUUAACACAUGCAAGUCGAACGAUGAAGCCCAGCUUGCUGGGUGGAUUAGUGGCGAACGGGUGUGUAACACGUGAGUAACCUCCCCCUAACUCUUGGGUAAGCCUGGGGAACUGGGUCUAAUACCGGAUAGGAGCGUCCACCGCAUGGUGGGUGUUGGAAAGAUUUAUCGGUUUUGGAUGGACUCGCGGCCUAUCAGCUUGUUGGUGGGGUAAUGGCUCACCAAGGCGACGACGGGUAGCCGGCCUGAGAGGGUGACCGGCCACACUGGGACUGAGACACGGCCCAGACUCCUACGGGAGGCAGCAGUGGGGAAUAUUGCACAAUGGGCGGAAGCCUGAUGCAGCAACGCCGCGUGAGGGAUGACGGCCUUCGGGUUGUAAACCGCUUUCAGUAGGGAAGAAGCGAGAGUGACGGUACCGGCAGAAGAAGCACCGGCUAACUACGUG